rnacentral:tRNA from 1 species
UCCCUGGUGGUCUAGUGAUUAGGACUCAGCACUAUCAGCUUUCACUGCUAUGGCCCAGGUUCAAUCCCUGGUCUGGGAA